CUCAUUCGUCUACGUGCGUCCGGAUGUGUACGGACAUUUUUACGGCUGGGUUUCCGUUCAUGCCGCUGUGAUCUCGGUUGACGAGCCAAUUCGACCACUGUGGUGGUCAAUCGGCGAGUGAACGAGAGAUCUCUAACUCGGAAGUGCAUAAUCUGAGCUGAUGACUUUCUUUCGUCGUCGGACAUCGGUGCGAUUUACGACUUUGAACUACGUGAUGUAACGCCUUGUACGCGUCUGAAUUGUUCACUCACCAUUUCUCGACGUCCCGUAACGUACACCGUCCAGGUCCAUCGACGAAAUCCAUCUCUGCAUCCGUUCAGCAUCCUUGUCCCACAUCCGUGGUGUCUAACUGUCGCUCCGCGACCAUCACUCUUGAUUCGUUGCACCAUACUGUACUGUACUGCACUUCACUCGCGAACGUAGCAAUUUUAAUGGCGCUUACGGAUUCGAUUAAAAGUGCAAACGCGAUAAAUCCUAGUCUGCGAAGAAUCGUUCACCCGCGUGUCACGAAUCGUGUAAACAAUUGCAAGUAGACCUCGGCGUCUUCGACAAAGGAUCGAGAAAGGAAACAAAAACAUCCCGCUUCUUGGACGAAUGUACUUUGUCGAAGGCGAAGUUUUCGUUUCGGAAGCGUUCCAAUUUUUAAACGAGACGACAAAUAUUUAUGCCAGAUUUUGUGAUAAUUUCGAUCGAAAUGAUACUGUGCGACUCGUAACGUGUAGAGAACUUAAGGAAUCGAUGAUUGAGACGAUAGCAAAUUCAAUCGCGAAAUAAGUGCUCGCGAAUUUCAUGUACGUUGGUGCAAUCCUCUCGGUCACGUUCUGGAACAAAAAAUAUAUAGUUUUACCGAUAAAAAAAUAUAAAGAAUAAUGAUUUAAUGAGGAAAAUAUGCGUAGAUAUGUAUGUGUUAAUUUUCUGCGAUUAUUGUAACUUAAUGACUUUUACCACGCUAAUUGUCUAAUUUGUCGAUCGCAAAGAGUUAUUAUAAAAUGCAAGAGCAUAAAAGAAUAAGGGGGGAGGUCUAUGAACCUACCUUCGAACCAACACUAUUCCGAACCGGAUCCUCCGGUACGGCAUCCGCGUCCACUGCACCCCCGGGAGCCGCAAGCUCUAGCAGAUCUGAAACAAAAAGUAAGUUUCCUAAUUAAUCACAUCGAUAGGUGUCAACGUAUUCCGAAUAUGAGGAGACUCAAAACUGCACAUUUUUAAAUUAAUUCAAGUGUACACUAAAAAAAGAAAAAUAUUUAGUAAUAGCAGCUGUAUAAUUGAUAGCUAGUACUAGAUCGAAUUUUAUUAUACAAAAUUAAUGGCAUAUUUAAAAUCGUGUCUUAUAUUUAAGACUGUCUUAAACUUAUCUUAAGAUAUUCUGUAGCCAGUAAAAUGCUCCGUAUAUCAUCUGAAGAUGAACUUAGGACGGUCUUAAAUAUGAGAUCCGAUUAUGAAUACCGACUAAUGUGUUUAAGAAAUUAUUGUAAUUACUGUAACUAAUGUCUUAAUUUUGCAAUAUAAUUAAAAAAUAAUUUACUGAAA